rnacentral:misc_RNA from 1 species
AACGCACAUUGCGCCCGUCAGUAUUCUGGCGGGCAUGCCUGUUCGAGCGUCAUUUCAACCAUCAAGCCUCAGGCUUGUGUUGGGGCCCUGCGGCUGCCGUAGUCCCCUAAAAGCAGUGGCGGACUCGCUGUCAUACCGAGCGCAGUAACACAUCUCGCUCUGGGCGUGGCGGCGGGCACCAGCCGUUAAACACUCCACUAAGGUUGACCUCGGAUCAGGUAGGAAUACCCGCUGAACUUAA